UGAGGAAUAUUGGUCAAUGGGCGGGAGCCUGAACCAGCCAAGCCGCGUGAGGGAAGAAGGCCCUAUGGGUCGUAAACCUCUUUUGUCAGGGAACAAAAGCGAGUAUGUAUACUGGUCUGAGUGUACCUGAAGAAAAACGCAUCGGCUAACUCCGUGCCAGCAGCCGCGGUAAUACGGAGGAUGCGAGCGUUAUCCGGAUUUAUUGGGUUUAAAGGGUGCGUAGGCGGCGGUGCAAGUCAGCGGUAAGAGCCCGGGGCUCAACCCCGGCGAGCCGUUGAAACUGCAGUGCUAGAGAAGGCGAGAGGUACGCGGAAUGCGCAGUGUAGCGGUGAAAUGCUUAGAUAUUGCGCAGAACUCCGGUAUGCGAAGGCAGCGUACUGGCGCCUGACUGACGCUGAGGCACGAAAGCGUGGGGAUCGAACAGGAUUAGAUACCC
rnacentral:rRNA from 1 species